rfam:Magnaporthe oryzae 70-15 chromosome 3, whole genome shotgun sequence.
GGCAAGAUGGCCGAGUUGGUUAUGCCGUAGGAUUAAGGCGGUUCCGACCUUUAGUCCUCUUUCCUAUGGAGAAAUCCGCGUGGGUUCAAGUCCCACUCUUGUCA